CCUACGGGAGGCUGCAGUGGGGAAUAUUGGACAAUGGGCGAAAGCCUGAUCCAGCCAUGCCGCGUGUGUGAAGAAGGCCUUCGGGUUGUAAAGCACUUUCAGUGGGGAAGAAAGCCUUGGGGCUAAUACCCUCGAGGAAGGACAUCACCCACAGAAGAAGCACCGGCUAACUCCGUGCCAGCAGCCGCGGUAAUACGGAGGGUGCGAGCGUUAAUCGGAAUUACUGGGCGUAAAGCGCGCGUAGGCGGUCUGAUAAGCCGGUUGUGAAAGCCCCGGGCUCAACCUGGGAACGGCAUCCGGAACUGUCAGGCUAGAGUGCAGGAGAGGAAGGUAGAAUUCCCGGUGUAGCGGUGAAAUGCGUAGAGAUCGGGAGGAAUACCAGUGGCGAAGGCAGGCCUCUGGACUGACACUGACGCUGAGGUGCGAAAGCGUGGGUAGCAAACAGGAUUAGAUACCCGGGUAGUC
rnacentral:rRNA from 1 species